GAUCCAGCCAUGCCGCGUGUGUGAAGAAGGCCUUCGGGUUGUAAAGCACUUUCAGUGGUGAGGAAAGGGUAACCGUUAAUAGCGGUUACAGUUGACGUUAGCCACAGAGGAAGCACCGGCUAACCCCGUGCCAGCAGCCGCGGUAAUACGGAGGGUGCAAGCGUUAAUCGGAAUUACUGGGCGUAAAGCGUACGUAGGCGGUGUGUUAAGCAAGAUGUGAAAGCCCCGGGCUCAACCUGGGAAUGGCAUUUUGAACUGGCACGCUAGAGUCCUGAAGAGGGUGGUAGAAUUUCCAGUGUAGCGGUGAAAUGCGUAGAUAUUGGAAGGAAUACCGGUGGCGAAGGCGGCCACCUGGUCAGAGACUGACGCUGAGGUACGAAAGCGUGGGGAGCAAACAGGAUUAAAUACCCUGGUAGUCCACGCCGUAAACGAUGUCAACUAGUUGUUCGUGUCUUUAAGACGUGAGUAACGCAGCUAACGCACUAAGUUGACCGCCUGGGGAGUACGGCCGCAAGGUUAAAACUCAAAUGAAUUGACGGGGGCCCGCACAAGCGGUGGAGCAUGUGGUUUAAUUCGAUGCAACGCGAAGAACCUUACCAUCCCUUGACAUCCAGUGAAUUUUCCAGAGAUGGAUUAGUGCCUUCGGGAACACUGAGACAGGUGCUGCAUGGCUGUCGUCAGCUCGUGUUGUGAGAUGUUGGGUUGAGUCCCGCAACGAGCGCAACCCUUAUCCUUAGUUGCCAGCACGUAAUGGUGGGAAACUCUGGGGAGACUGCCGGUGAUAAACCGGANGAAGGUGGGGACGACGUCAAGUCAUCAUGGCCCUUACGGGAUG
rnacentral:rRNA from 1 species